GAGUUUGAUCCUGGCUCAGGACGAACGCUGGCUGCGUGCUUAACACAUGCAAGUCAAGGGGGCCCAGCAAUGGGCAACCGGCGAACGGGUGCGUAACACGUGAGCAACCUACCGAACUGUGGGGGAUAGCCGGCCUAACGGCCGAGUAAUACCGCAUACGCUCUCAGUGAGGCAUUUCAUUGAGAGGAAACCUACGGGACAGAUCGAGGGGCUCGCGGCCUAUCAGCUAGUUGGCGAGGUAACGGCUCACCAAGGCAACGACGGGUAGCUGGUCUGAGAGGAUGGCCAGCCACAUUGGGACUGAGAUACGGCCCAGACUCCUACGGGAGGCAGCAGUGGGGAAUCUUGCGCAAUGGCCUAACGGCUGACGCAGCGACGCCGCGUGUGGGAUGAAGCUCUUCGGAGUGUAAACCACUGUUGCCCGGGACGAAUAGCUCGAUUAAUCGAGCCUGACGGUACCGGGUGAGGAAGCACCAGCUAACUCCGUGCCAGCAGCCGCGGUAAUAC
rnacentral:rRNA from 1 species